rnacentral:rRNA from 1 species
UACGUAGGGUGCGAGCGUUAUCCGGAAUUAUUGGGCGUAAAGAGCUUGUAGGCGGUUUGUCGCGUCUGCUGUGAAAAUCCGGGGCUCAACCCCGGACUUGCAGUGGGUACGGGCAGACUAGAGUGUGGUAGGGGAGACUGGAAUUCCUGGUGUAGCGGUGAAAUGCGCAGAUAUCAGGAGGAACACCGAUGGCGAAGGCAGGUCUCUGGGCCACUACUGACGCUGAGAAGCGAAAGCAUGGGGAGCGAACAGGAUUAGAUACCCCGGUA